GCAUGUGGUUUAAUUCGUACGCAACGCGAAGAACCUUACCAGGGCUUGACAUCCCCUGACCGCGUAUGAAAGUACGUUUUCACCCUCGGGUGACAGGGAGACAGGUGGUGCAUGGUUGUCGUCAGCUCGUGUCGUGAGAUGUUGGGUUAAGUCCCGCAACGAGCGCAACCCUUAUUGCUAGUUACCAUCAUUGAGUUGGGGGACUCUAGCGAGACUGCCAGCGAUAAGCUGGAGGAAGGUGGGGAUGACGUCAAAUCAUCAUGCCCCUUAUGACCUGGGCUACAAACGUGAUACAAUGGCUGGAACAAAGGGAGGCGAAGGGGUGACCUGGAGCGAAACCCAAAAAUACAGUCUCAGUUCGGAUUGAAGUCUGCAACUCGACUUCAUGAAGUCGGAAUCGCUAGUAAUCGCGGAUCGGAACGCCGCGGUGAAUACGUUCUCGGGGUUU
rnacentral:rRNA from 1 species